rnacentral:rRNA from 1 species
AUUGAACGCUGGCGGCAUGCCUUACACAUGCAAGUCGAACGGUAACGGGCCUUCGGGUGCCGACGAGUGGCGAACGGGUGAGUAAUAUAUCGGAACGUACCUUUCAGUGGGGGAUAACGUAGCGAAAGUUACGCUAAUACCGCAUAUUCUGUGCGCAGGAAAGCAGGGGACCUUCGGGCCUUGCGCUGAUUGAGCGGCCGAUAUCAGAUUAGCUAGUUGGUGAGGUAAAGGCUCACCAAGGCGACGAUCUGUAGCGGGUCUGAGAGGAUGAUCCGCCACACUGGAACUGAGACACGGUCCAGACUCCUACGGGAGGCAGCAGUGGGGAAUUUUGGACAAUGGGGGCAACCCUGAUCCAGCCAUGCCGCGUGAGUGAAGAGGGCCUUCGGGUUGUAAAGCUCUUUCGGCCGGGAAGAAAUCGUAUGGGCUAAUACCCUGUGCGGAUGACGGUACCGGCAUAAGAAGCACCGGCUAACUACGUGCCAGCCGCCGCCGUAAGAC